CUUGUGUUAGUGCUGCAUUAAUUGCAGCUUGUAUCAUCUUGAUUUGGGGUGGUUUAAAGCAGUAGCAUGGGGUAAAGACUUCUCUUCCUUCUUUUAGUGUUAGAAAAGUUGUAAAAAUCAUGGAGAGCCCAGUUCAUCUCCUGCCUGCUGCCCUGCUGUAGGCUUUUCCCUCUUCUCCCCACAUUGGCCCUCUCUCUGAUUAGUGAAGCCUAUGAGAGUAUUUGCAGCUCUCAAGUUCUCUUAUGAAAUAUGAGCUUAACUUCAAGGCACAACAGUGCUGAUGGUGAAAAUGGAGAUGACUUGUGAUUUAUUCCUAAUCUGAAGAAAACCCCAAACUACACCAACUACGCAAAACUCUGCAAGUACAGGGACCUGCAAUCUCCACCGAAUGAUGGGACUUGUGAAAAACAGGCUACUUAAGGAGAAAACAAAACCAAUUGAAAGAAGAGGAAAUAUCACCUUUGUCCACUUGUCCCACUUGCUGUUUGCAGAAUCACUGAGCUAUCAAACAGUCCCUUUUAAGCACUUUUAUCCCCUAUGAAAUUGUUAAACGCGUCUUGGCUAGAAUAACACUGGAAUGUCAAAACUUGUUUAGGUAUUUGAUCCACAGAGGACAAAGUAUAAAAUCUAUAGCUAAUCAAGUAAAAGAGGAAUAAAAUGUGCUUAACUG